GAUGAAGAAGGUAGCGAAAUGCGAUAAGUAAUGUGAAUUGCAGAAUUCAGUGAAUCAUCGAAUCUUUGAACGCACAUUGCGCCCCUUGGUAUUCCGAGGGGCAUGCCUGUUCGAGCGUCAUUAUAACCCCUCAAGCUCAGCUUGGUGUUGGGGCCUGCUGCACUGGCAGCCCUUAAAAUCAGUGGCGGCGCCAUCUGGCUCUAAGCGUAGUAAUUCUUCUCGCUAUGGAGUCCUGGUGGAUGCUUGCCAUCAACCCCCAAUUUUUCUAUGGUUGACCUCGGAUCAGGUAGGGAUACCCGCUGAACUUAAGCAUAUCAAUAAGCGGAGGA
rnacentral:misc_RNA from 1 species